rnacentral:rRNA from 1 species
AUUGAACGCUGGCGGCAGGCCUAACACAUGCAAGUCGAACGAAGUCUUCGGACUUAGUGGCGGACGGGUGAGUAACACGUGGGAACGUACCUUUUGGUUCGGAACAACUCAGGGAAACUUGAGCUAAUACCGGAUGAGCCCUUAGGGGGAAAGAUUUAUCGCCGAAAGAGCGGCCCGCGUUAGAUUAGCUAGUUGGUGAGGUAAAGGCUCACCAAGGAUACGAUCUAUAGCUGGUCUGAGAGGAUGAUCAGCCACACUGGGACUGAGACACGGCCCAGACUCCUACGGGAGGCAGCAGUGGGGAAUCUUGCGCAAUGGGCGAAAGCCUGACGCAGCCAUGCCGCGUGAAUGAUGAAGGUCUUAGGAUUGUAAAAUUCUUUUACCAGGGACGAUAAUGACGGUACCUGGAGAAAAGGCCCCGGCUAACUUCGUGCCAGCCGCCGCCGUAACAC